AGCAGUAGCCGCGGUAAUACGAGGGGGGCAAGCGUUGUUCGGAAUUAUUGGGCGUAAAGGGUGCGUAGGCGGUUUGGCAAGUUUGGUGUGAAAUCUUCGGCUCAACUCGAAGUCUGCAUCGAAAACUGCCGGGCUUGAGUAUGGGAGAGGUGAGUGGAAUUUCCGGUGUAGCGGUGAAAUGCGUAGAUAUCGGAAGGAACACCUGUGGCGAAAGCGGCUCACUGGACCAUAACUGACGCUGAGGCGCGAAAGCUAGGGGAGCAAACAGGAUUAGAUACCCGAGUAGUCCCUGUCUCUUAUACA
rnacentral:rRNA from 1 species